GCCAUUGGCUGUGACAUGCAGGUAGAAGUUGGGUCUGUCAGCCGCCUCCAGGGACACCACAUCAGGGUCUGCAGAGCCACAGGAGUUAGCUACCCUCGGCCAUCAUCUCUGUGGAUGAAGGUGGGAGGUUACAGAAGGCCUCAGCUGCUGCUGUCUCCAGUCCUGUCUGUCUCUCCUUUCCCACCAGAAAACCUUGCCUACCCUGGCACCUACUCUGCUUGGCACCAGUGCAGGUCCUUACGGGAUCCCCUGAGUCGUCAUCGAAGAUGAUGAGUGAGCUGCCAACGUUGAUGGAGAUGGAC
rnacentral:sRNA from 1 species